rnacentral:piRNA from 1 species
UACCUACCUAUUACCUAUGCG